rnacentral:rRNA from 1 species
UACGUAGGUGGCAAGCGUUGUCCGGAUUUACUGGGCGUAAAGAGCGCGCAGGCGGGCGUACAAGUCGCGUGUGAAAGCCCCCGGCUCAACUGGGGAGGGUCACGCGAUACUGUUCGACUCGAAGGCAGGAGAGGGAAGUGGAAUUCCCGGUGUAGUGGUGAAAUGCGUAGAUAUCGGGAGGAACACCAGUGGCGAAGGCGACUUCCUGGCCUGUUCUUGACGCUGAGGCGCGAAAGCUAGGGUAGCAAACGGG